rnacentral:precursor_RNA from 1 species
AGCCUGUAGUCUCGAGCUAUUUGUGUCGAAAUAAUUCAAAAGCUCGUUCCCUACAGGUAAU